rnacentral:rRNA from 1 species
GACGUAGGGUGCAAGCGUUGUCCGGAUUUACUGGGCGUAAAGAGCGCGUAGGCGGCUCGUUAAGUGUGAAGUGAAAUCUCCAGGGCUCAACCCGGAAACUGCUUCGCAUACUGACGAGCUGGAGGGAUGCAGAGGUGAGUGGAAUUCCUGGUGUACCGGUGAAAUGGGUAGAUAUCAGGAGGAACACCCAUGGCGAAGGCAGCUCACUGGGCAUCACCUGACGCUGAGGCGCGAAAGUGUGGGGAGCAAACAGGAUUAGAAACCCCUGUAGUCC